rnacentral:rRNA from 1 species
AUACGGAGGGUGCGAGCGUUAAUCGGAAUUACUGGGCGUAAAGCGUGCGUAGGUGGUUAUUUAAGCAAGAUGUGAAAGCCCAGGGCUCAACCUUGGAACUGCAUUUUGAACUGGAUGGCUAGAGUAUUGUAGAGGGUGGUGGAAUUUCCAGUGUAGCGGUGAAAUGCGUAGAGAUUGGAAGGAACAUCAGUGGCGAAGGCGGCCACCUGGACAACUACUGACACUGAGGCACGAAAGCGUGGGGAGCGAACAGGAUUAGAAACCCUAGUAGUCC